UCACAACUGUGAGGUGCAUGUAGUAAGCCCUAGUAGAGAGAUGAAAGAGAGCCUCUUUGCUUACCUGACUCUAUAAAAUGACUCUAUUAAUGCUCAUGUCUCAUGGGAGAUGUGCUUCUCUGAUCUUUAUUUGUUUUACAGACUAGAAAUUUAGUAGGCUAUUGCAUUUGAGCCUUUAAAAAAUAGAAAGAUGACUCCAUUAUCUUCUACAUAUGUAAGUGGCUAUUUAUCAUAUGGAAGUCAAGCCUUCAUCCCAAAGUUCAUCUUAAUUCCCCCAAUAAACUGUAUCCUGGCUGUUAGAGAAUAAAACAAAAGAUUAUGGAUACAUUCAGACAUUAAAAAGUAGAGAGAAUAUGAUGAACUCCCAUGCAGCCAUCUCCUACCUUCAAAAACUACCAGCAUUUGGUCAAUCUUGCUCUCCACUAUUUCCUCUCCUGCCUUCUGUUGUAUUUCAAAGCAAAUCCUAGAUGCCAUAUCAUUUAUGCUUGAAAUACUGAAUAGUAGUUCAUGGUGUGUAUGUACUCAGGUAUGGCUUUUUUAUACUUAAAUGUAAGUUUUUUUUUCUUGUAUGGUAAGCGAAGGGAGUGUUCAGAUAGAAUUUUUUGAAGUGUCAAACACUGCUUCUCUAGGUGGUGCUAUAGGAAACCUGUAUAGAGAGACAUUUACACUUGUAAAUGACAUCGUAAGUAGGAUGUGCUUGGGGGAAAUCUUAGGGUAUAAUGUGUGAUUCUCUGCCAUUCUUCUGUUAAAAUUGGCUGCUGUGACAGAGUUGUUUAUGUUAUAAAAUUUAACAUGUUUGACUUUACAUUGCACGUUUCAGAAUAAAGAGGCCCAGUCCUAGUUCGGCUACCACCUCUUACAGACUUUAGGCAAGUCCCACAAACUCUGGACUUCCAUUUCCUUUUUUUUAAAAUUAAAGAUUGACUGGCCCGGGUGAUCUCAGGGUUUGUUUCUGUGGGGUGGGUUAGAAUCAUGUUUCUUCACAUAGCCACAACCCAGUCACUAAAUAAGGUAGAUGAGUGAAAUCCUAUAUCGGGAAGAGUUCUUUAGGCCCUGCUCUCAUUGAUUUGAUUCAUCAGCCUCGGGACUUCUAAGCUCCUUCUUGAUACAGGACAUGGAAAAGCCAGCAUUUUCCUUGGCUCUGAAGGACAGGUGUCUGUUUGUCUUCUUGUAUUGUUCAUGUGUAUGUGUGUAUUCAGGAUAUCUGAUUAUUUUGAAGGACAUUGGACUGCAUGAAGACAGAUGCCUGUAAAGCAGUUCUGUUCUUUUUCCAUUUAUUUGAGAAAAAUAUUUUUGCUCUUCUCUAGGUGCCGACUUAUUAAAACUGACAAAGGAGGAUUUAGUUCAAAUUUGUGGUGCAGCCGAUGGAAUUCGGCUCUAUAAUUCACUGAAGUCAAGGUAAAAUACUGUGAACUGUUUUGCUUGAAAUAAGAAUGUACCUUUCUUUGCGUGGGGAAUUUGGGCAGAAUCUGUUUCCACGCUAGGUUGGCGUGUGUGCCUGUGUGCGCCAUCGAGCAUUGGCAGCAUUGUGCUCACAAGAAGACUGUUUUGUGUACACCUUCAGGGCAGGCCCAGAUAUGAUGCAGGCACUGAUGAGGGCAGAGGUAGACUGUAAGACUGGUAGAAAUGCACAUGGGCAGUACUGAUUUCUUGAAGACGACUGGGUUUGUUGCCAAGAAAACAAAACUUCUAAUUUAGGUGAGCUAUACAGAAUCUAUGGUUUUCAAGGUCAUGACUAUUACUAAACAGUUAUUAAAAAUGUAAACUAAUUGUGAAUUAAAAUGACAGAAACUGUAAAUUGUGCUGGCUUGUAAGAACCAUUUACUAUCAUUGCUCUUUCUAUACUUGUGGUGUGAGAAUUCCAUUAAAAUUGAAUCUUACUGAUUUUUAAUUUGCUGACUUAAUCUUGAAACUUAAAUUUACCAGCAUCUGACAGACCAUCUCAAUGGUUUAGAGUCUGGAUCAUCAUAUUAGACCACCUGUGAUAGUUGGUGUGAGGUGUGUGGUUUUUAUAUUUUUAUUAGUAAAUUACUUUGUAUAACGAAAUAACAUUAUAAAGUUCUCAUAAGGAAAUAGAACUUAGAUUCCUGUAGUUGUCAUAUUUGUACAUGUGUAAGGCAGCUUUCUCUCCCAGGCUCAUCAGUGGCAUCUUCUGAUUGCAGGUCGGUUAGACCCCGUUUAACCAUCUAUGUCUGCCGGGAGCAGCCAAGCAGCACAGUGCUGCAAGGGCAGCAGCAAGCUGCAAGCAGUGCAAGCGAGAAUGGCAGUGGGGCACCCUAUGUUUAUCAUGCAAUCUACUUGGAAGAAAUGAUUGCCUCAGAAGUUGCUCGAAAACUUGCGCUGGUGUUUAAUAUCCCUCUCCACCAAAUUAAUCAGGUUUACAGACAGGGUCCCACUGGUAUUCACAUUCUUGUUAGUGAUCAGGUAAAUCAAAUCAUUUGUUUUUCCUUUUCAGACUGGUAUUUACUUUUAUACAUGUAAUUGUAGAACUGUAGAAAAAUUCUGUGACCUCUUUUGAAAAUACUUAUGAGAAUCAUUUUCAGAGAGUUGGGAAUCACUUUGGAAGAACUUAUAACCAAGAGUUUCAGGCAUCCUAGUGAUAAUAUGGAAUACAAGCCAAGGAAAACUGGCUUAGCCUCCCCCCAAGCCCUUUAGGAUGCAGCCAAUCACUGGGGCACUCUAGGGAUAGUGGCAGGCUUUGGCCCUUUUUAUGAGGUGAGUCACUGGAUGUGUUUUCCUUUUGUCUAUUAUUUGAUGACUAAUUUAAAAAAACAUGUAAGAUAUAUAAUUUUUCCCCUAGUGAUUGGUGGCAAGUAAUAAUAGAAGAGCACUUUAUGCAAUUUUUGUUCGAGUCAUCAUCCACUGGAGCCGGCAGGGAAUGUGCCCCUGUGGGUCACAUGGGUGACUGACCAGGUCUCUCAGGGACCAUUAUGGACAGGCAUAGUGAACACAAGGCAGUGCAGCACGUGUGCAUCUUUGCUGCCUCACACUGCCUUCAUGAAUUAUCGUUUUGGCCAUUGAGUCCUGUGUUUGUUUGAGAAGAAUGUUUACUGUUUUAAAAUCAUUUUAAGAAACGACAGUUGGAUCUUAAUUGUACUUACGCAUUUACUUUAUCCUUCCAGAUGGUUCAGAAUUUUCAAGAUGAGAGUUGUUUUUUAUUCUCCACAGUAAAAGGUACUUUGCAUGUGUGUGUGUCUUAAAAUGCUGGAAUCAUGAGAGAUGGUGUGUGCCUCUAAUUAGUGCCUCUCGUGUUUAUUCUUUAAAAUGAUUGCUUUACUCAUUUUAAGAAGAAAGUUUGAUAAAUGAGAAUAUUUCUAGUGGUUGUAACAGAAAUUAGCAUAUAAGGAAGAGGAGUCAGUCUUUCUAGAUGACUGGAAAAAAAAAUCUCAGUUCAUUCAGCCAGCGUCUUACUGAGCACUUUGUGUCAGACACCGUGCUUCUGUCGCUCAGUGGAUCUAUUGAAUAAAACAGAAUCCAUGAAACUCCUAUUGGGGAAAGCAAACCAAAAUUGGCCAAGAGAUACACAAAAUUCCCAAUAUGUUAAGUUCCACGAAGGAACAGGAAAGUGUGGGGUACUUCUGGAUAAGGGAGAUCUGGGUUGAGGGGAAUAUGAAACUGUAAGGCAAGGCUUCUCUGAGGAGGUGUUAUUAAUCCUGAGACUUGAAGAAUGAGAAGAAGCGGGAGCUGGCCAUUGGAUUAGCAUCCCCAGGCAACGUGGGGCUGUGUGCAAAGAAAACACCUGGCUUCUUGGAAAGCCUGGCAGUGGGCCAUGUAGGUGCCAUGCAGUGUGUGAGGGUGAGCGGAUCAGGGCGAAUCAAAGCAGGAGGCCGGGUCUGGCAUGUGGGGACCGGAUGAUGAUGGUAGUUCGGAUUUACUUGAAAUGCAUUGGGUUGUCACUGAAGUUGUUUAAACAAAGGAGUAGUAAUGUGACUAGAUUUUUCUUUCACUUUCACAACUCUGUGGAGACAGAUGAGAAGGUGGCAAAACAAGGCAGGAGAUAUCCAGGUGAAAGGUGAUGGUAUCUUACACGUUUAUAGACAGGGUCCCAGUGGGCUCCACUUUUGAGGGAGGAAUAGUUCUGACACCUUAUUUUCUGUGGAAAGUAACUGGGCAGAUGGUGAUCUCAUUGAAGAGGUAAGUAUGGUUGGGGUAAAUCAACCAAGAGUUUGAUUUUGGAUAUGUAGAAAUGUCAAGUAGGCAGUUGACUAUUACCAGUCUGGGGCUCAGAGAAGAGGCCUGGGCUUGAGAUGUAAAUUUGGAAACCUUCAGCAUAUCAACAGUGACUCAAAGCUGUAGAAGUUGUUAAGGUCAUUUAGGGAGAGAAUAUGAAAAGAGCCAGGACCAGGCUUAGGUGGCUCCAACAUUAAAGAGGAGGGAUUCCUAAAUGUAAAAUUAUUUGAGAAGAGAUCAUACAUUCAUAGACUGUUUUAAAAGUCAGGUGAGCUAAGAUCCAAAUCCGGUCUUAGCACAAAAGCUGCCCCUAGAAGAGGGAGAUGUCAUGUGUGUCAGGUGUCCCCAAACUACUGAAAUACUGAUUUUAUUUUGCGCCUCACAUGUUGCGUAUGCCAUCAGGUUACCUGCAAGGCUGAGUUUUAACUCUGAACUGGUUCACUCUUUCAGAAACAUCUUUAGCCUAGUACCCUUCUGCUCAGUCUUUUGUUUUCACAGCAGUACAGUUUUUACCUUGCAUAACUGGCAUUGUCUGAAAAAGAAGACAUAUACUAUAAUUGCAUAGUUUUGUUUUGUGAAACCAGCAGACAUUUUUUGGUAUUAGAAAUCAUAGGAUCUCCCCUCUAAUCUCAAUUUACUGUUUUGUUUUUUUUUUUUUAACUUUGUCGUCAUGAGAAAAAUCAUUUUUUUAUGAAUGCCUAUAUUGCUUCUCACUAUUUACUGAGAAACACUAGGCAAAAGGAAUGAUACAUUUUUAAAAUGUUUGAAAUCUCUGUGAGUAGCUCAGAAAUUUUUCUGGAAAAGGUAGAUGACACAUUUGCAUUUACUCCCUCAGGUCCUCUGCCCUGACACAGUAUAUUUCACCUGUUCUCCUUCUAGCUCUUGCUCCCCUUAUGGACAGCACUAUUAUUGUGUGUCUUGAUAGAUGUCCCCCUACCCCCAGAACUGGCAGACAGUGUUGGAAUGGGGGCGUAGAUAGUGGGCCAGGCUUCGCAGAAUGUCUAAAAAGGGAAUGUGUACAUGAAGUUUUUUGGGGGAAGAGGAGCUAGAGCAAGUUAAUCUGCUUGUUUCUCUAGAAUCAUUUAAAGGUAACCUCUGAAUUGGGAAGGGAGGUUGUAGUUGGCAGGGAGUUUUCCAUUUAAUAGGCUUAAUUUCCUAAGCCUGACUGAAGAAAUACUGUCUUUCCUUUUUCUGCAGCUGAAAAUAGUGAUGGCAUCCACAUAAUUUUGAAGUGAUGUCUUAUAUAGACUGAACUGUAUUCAGUACCAAAUAGUCACGCUUAAAAGUGUGUGAAGACUGAAUCCAAGAAGUCUUGGGAUUGGAUUUUACCAUAUGAAAUGUUUCAUAUUGAAAACACAAGAUGACCUUUCUAAUGAGCUGUAUGAGAGGUGAAUCUCCUCACUGUCACUGCCAUAGCCAAGCAUCCUCAUGAGAGUGAGCACAUCGGCACAGCAUGCAUCCAGCUCUGGAGGCCACGGUGCAGGCAUAGCUGCCUGCUGCUCUGGCAGAGGCCAGUAAAUACAGUUCCUAGAAGCAGCCUUUGCUGUCUUUUUACACUGUAUGUGGUUUGGAAAUGAAUGUAGAAACUUACUGUGGGCAUUUACCUUUCUGUGCCAGUUUGGCUUUUAUUGCCUGAACCUUAUGCUGACCUGGAGAGGAGAUGGGGGACAGUGCUGUUGUGGGGCCAGCAGUGAAUCUGUAUGCGGAGAGUUGUGUUGUGCUGAUGUGGCCGUUGGUGGUCAGGUAAGAGGCUCGGCACCUUCUUGGAAGAAAUCAUGUCUGAGGGUGUACGUUUGAUACGAUCAUGCCAGAUUGGAGAAGAUCCAAGCCAGGAAGAUGGGCUUGAAGCAAACUGCAUUAUCAGGAGUACCUUGGUGAGAGGAUCAGUGUAAAUCCUAAUAGGUACAAAGACUUUUGUGUUUUGGCUUUGUCACAGAUUUAUUGAAAAACUUUUUUGCUUCUGCUUCCAUUUUUAGCAUUUUAGUUUCUGGUUUUCAUUUUUGGAGAUUACUUGCCUUUUAAACUCGUGGUUUUUCUCUCGUUUUCUUCCCUCUCUCCCUCCAUCUCUGACCACCCCCACCCUAACCCCCCACCCCCACCAUCCUAUUAAACAUUUUUAAAGCCCUACCCCAGACAUUGGAAAUAGGUGACCCAAGUAGGGGGAGAAAGUAUUAUUGUUGAUAGCUUCUGACUAGGUGUUAAGGGAUCUUCAUUAUGAACAAGAUGAAUUUUUUUGUGGAAACACUAGAUGUUAUCAAUCAAACACUAAAAUGUAUCAUACAAAUCCCUUAAGCCUCUCAAAUAUUGAGCUUUAGUACAAUCAUGGAUAGACAUUCUGGUGAUGAUUUAGGGGCUUUUAUACACCACAUACUAGCUUCUUUCUCUAUAAGAGUGCCUCUUUCAUAAAACCAAAUGCUUGUCUGCUAGCAUACUUUUCAAAGGGAAUCCACUGUUUUCUCACUUUCCUCCCAUAUCUCCGUCCUUCAUCCAAAACCUUCCCAGAAUCCAUCAGCAAGCAUGUUUGAGGCCUGUGGUGUAGGGGACUGAAUUUUUUUUUUAACUUCUAUUCCAUUUUAAUUGUAGGAUAUCUUUGUCCAUAUACCCAGGUGUCCUGAUUUGAAUGUACUAUUUGAUCCUCAUUGUGUUCAGGCAAAAAAUAGGAAAUGAGUAAUUUUGAGUUUGAAAUCUCUCCCAGAAGACAAACUACUUCAGUGAGUAAAAGCUUUGACAUUUUAUGUUUUAUUCAUAAAGGGGGUUAAUUAAUUAUUUGCUACAAAGAAGCACGAUCUAUUUUCAUCAUCGAUUUGAAAAUAUCUGUAACUCCUAUAGAUCCUAUAGGCAGAGAGUUUUCCUUUCUGACUUUUUCCCUUUGCUUUCGUGUGACCACAUGUUUUCUGUACCAGUCACUGGGGAAAGAAGCGAGUUUAUCUCGUUUGUUUGAAAAGUUUUGCUUGUCUAUUUAGCAUUCCUUUUUGGGUCUCAAGAUUUAUGGAACAAUAAAUGUCAUUUAAUGCUGUGUGCUUAUUUUGAAUUCCUCAUCAGGUUUUAGAAGCGGGGUAAAAAUACUUAGAUGCUUAUCAGACUUGAAAUUAUACUGAGUGGCAUUGAACGUGAGUUUGUCCCAGUGAAACAAACAGGCUAAAUAAAUUUUGGCACCAGCAAAUUUGUUACUUUUUUUUUUAAUAGUAGGAUGUACACAUUUCAGUAUAAUAAAUGUUUUCUGAUUGUUUUGCA
rnacentral:sRNA from 1 species